rnacentral:sRNA from 1 species
UAUGGGAUCUCUCCCCCCCUCUGAUUGUCUGUUAGUAAGCUGCGAAACUUAUCAGUAACAGAACAAUCAGUAUGAUGACCUGGUGCAUCAUAA